GAUGAACGCUGGCGGCGUGCCUAAUACAUGCAAGUCGAGCGAAUGGAUUAAGAGCUUGCUCUUAUGAAGUUAGCGGCGGACGGGUGAGCAACACGUGGGUAACCUGCCCAUAAGACUGGGAUAACUCCGGGAAACCGGGGCUAAUACCGGAUAACAUUUUGAACCGCAUGGUUCGAAAUUGAAAGGCGGCUUCGGCUGUCACUUAUGGAUGGACCCGCGUCGCAUUAGCUAGUUGGUGAGGUAACGGCUCACCAAGGCAACGAUGCGUAGCCGAACUGAGCGGGUGAUCGGCCGCACUGGGACUGAGACACGGCCCAGACUCCUACGGGAGGCAGCAGUAGGGAAUCUUCCGCAAUGGACGAAAGUCUGACGGAGCAACGCCGCGUGAGUGAUGAAGGCUUUCGGGUCGUAAAACUCUGUUGUUAGGGAAGAACAAGUGCUAGUUGAAUAAGCUGGCGCCUUGACGGUACCUAACCAGAAAGCCACGGCUAACUACGUGCCAGCAGCCGCCGCGG
rnacentral:rRNA from 1 species